rnacentral:rRNA from 1 species
AUGAUCAUGUCCGACCCGGCCAUGCUGCCGCCGGGCUUCCGGUUCCACCCGACGGACGAGGAGCUCAUCCUACACUACCUCCGCAACCGCGCCGCCGAAUCGCCCUGCCCCGUCUCCAUCAUCGCCGACGUAGAUAUCUACAAGUUCGACCCAUGGGCCCUGCCAUCCAAGGCUAGCUACGGGGACAGGGAGUGGUACUUCUUCACGCCGAGGGACCGUAAGUACCCCAACGGUGUCCGGCCGAACCGCGCCGCGGGUUCCGGCUACUGGAAGGCCACCGGCACCGACAAGCCCAUCCGCUGCAGCGCCACCGGCGAGAGCGUCGGCGUCAAGAAGGCCCUCGUCUUCUACAAGGGCCGCCCGCCCAAGGGCAUCAAAACCAACUGGAUCAUGCACGAGUACCGCCUCGCUGCCGCCGACGCACACGCCGCCAACACCUACCGCCCCAUGAAGUUCCGCAACGCCUCCAUGAGGCUGGAUGACUGGGUGCUGUGCCGGAUCUACAAGAAGACCAGCCAAGUGUCGCCGAUGGCGGUGCCGCCGCUGUCCGACCACGAGCUUGACGAGCCUUCUGGCGCUGACGCCUACCCCGUGUCGAGCGCCGGCAUGAUCAUGCAAGGCGGCGCCAGCGGCUACCCGCUGCAGGCCGCGGCCGUCGGCACACAGAGGAUGCCCAAGAUCCCGUCCAUAUCAGAGUUGCUCAACGAGUACUCGCUGGCGCAGCUCUUCGAGGACAGCGGACACGCGCUGAUGGCGCGGCACGAUCAGCACGCCGCCCUCCUCGGUCACCCCAUCAUGAGCCAAUUCCAUGUGAACAGCAUGCCGCAGCUUGGGCAGAUGGAUUCGUCAGCCUCAACGUCGGUGGCAGGCGAGGGUGCCGCCGGGAAGCGCAAGAGGCCGUCGGAGGACGGUGACCGUAACGGGUCGACGAGCCAGCCAGCGGCGGCGGUGACGGGCAAGAAGCCCAACAGUUCUUGCUUGGGUGCAACAACGUUCCAAACAGGCAACAACACCUUGCAGGGGACGUUGCUCCGUUUCUAA